rnacentral:rRNA from 1 species
ACUGCUCAGUAACACGUGGAUAACCUGCCCUUGGGUCCGGCAUAACCCCGGGAAACUGGGGAUAAUUCCGGAUAACGCAUAUAUGCUGGAAUGCUUUCUGCGUAAAAUGGAUUCGUCUGCCCAAGGAUGGGUCUGCGGCCUAUCAGGUAGUAGUGGGUGUAAUGUACCUACUAGCCUACGACGGGUACGGGUUGUGAGAGCAAGAGCCCGGAGAUGGAUUCUGAGACAUGAAUCCAGGCCCUACGGGGCGCAGCAGGCGCGAAAACUUUACAAUGCGGGAAACCGUGAUAAGGGGACACCGAGUGCCAGCAUCAUAUGCUGGCUGUCCAGGUGUGUAAAAUACACCUGUUAGCAAGGGCCGGGCAAGACCGGUGCCAGCCGCCGCGGUAACACCGGCGGCCCGAGUGGUGAUCGUGUUUAUUGGGUCUAAAGGGUCCGUAGCCGGUUUGGUCAGUCCUCCGGGAAAUCUGACAGCUUAACUGUUAGGCUUUCGGAGGAUACUGCCAGACUUGGAACCGGGAGAGGUAAGAGGUACUACAGGGGUAGGAGUGAAAUCUUGUAAUCCCUGUGAGACCACCUGUGGCGAAGGCGUCUUACCAGAACGGGUUCGACGGUGAGGGACGAAAGCUGGGGGCACGAACCGGAUUAGAUACCCGGGUAGUCCCAGCCGUAAACGAUGCUCGCUAGGUGUCAGGCAUGGCGCGACCGUGUCUGGUGCCGCAGGGAAGCCGUGAAGCGAGCCACCUGGGAAAUACGGCCGCAAGGCUGAAACUUAAAGGAAUUGGCGGGGGAGCAC